ACAACAAGAGAGUAAAACAAAACAAGCAAAAAUCAUUGAUUGAGUCAAGAAAUCUAAACCAUGAAAACAUCACAAAUAGUUCUAAUGUGCAUAGUCAUGUUCUCCCUCUUGGCUUCACAUGAGUGUGGGAGGAUAGAGAGAGGACUGAUGAGUCUCAAUGUUGGUAAAGCAGAACCAGACCCAGAUAGAGGUAUAGGUGGUGGGAGGAUAGAGAGAGGAGUGAGCCUGAACCUUGGUAAAGCAGAACCAGACCCAGACUGUAGAAAAGAAAAACAUCAUGGCUGUUAGAGCUGCCAUGUAAAAGGAAAUUAAAUGGUUAAAUAUUGGUUAAUAAAAAUAUAUUAUGACUGACGGUUGAGACUUGAGAUAUGUUUAGCUUCUUGAAUUAAACCAAAGAAUCAAAUUUUUAAUU